rnacentral:hammerhead_ribozyme from 1 species
ACUUCACUGAGGAGUCCCAUAAUAGGACGAAACGGCCGUCCAGU